AACAAUGCAGAGCCGGUUGUUGGA
rnacentral:siRNA from 1 species